rnacentral:pre_miRNA from 4 species
UCAUAUGAAUAAGCAAAGAAAGUGGUUUCUUGCCAUGGGAUCCACUCUUUGGUGAAUAUGCUGUGAA